rnacentral:rRNA from 1 species
AUUGAACGCUGGCGGCAUGCUUUACACAUGCAAGUCGAACGGCAGCGCGGGCUUCGGCCUGGCGGCGAGUGGCGAACGGGUGAGUAAUGCAUCGGAACGUGCCCAGUAGUGGGGGAUAGCCCGGCGAAAGCCGGAUUAAUACCGCAUACGACCUGAGGGUGAAAGCGGGGGACCGAAAGGCCUCGCGCUAUUGGAGCGGCCGAUGUCGGAUUAGCUAGUUGGUGGGGUAAAGGCUUACCAAGGCGACGAUCCGUAGCUGGUCUGAGAGGACGACCAGCCACACUGGGACUGAGACACGGCCCAGACUCCUACGGGAGGCAGCAGUGGGGAAUUUUGGACAAUGGGGGCAAGCCUGAUCCAGCCAUGCCGCGUGCGGGAAGAAGGCCUUCGGGUUGUAAACCGCUUUUGUUCGGGAAGAAAACCUCUGGGCUAAUACCCCGGGGGGAUGACGGUACCGGAAGAAUAAGCACCGGCUAACUACGUG